CUUUGAACAAAUGUUUUGUAAAGGUCAGCUGUUUUAUGAAAAUCAGCCGUUACAUGAAAAUACAGAACCUAACGCCAAAAUGGGUCAAAAAGGCGGAGCUGGUGUUCAGGUACAAAAAAAUCGACAUCUUAAGUUCUAAUUUUACCUCAAGCCGGUUGUUCUACAUUAGAAGGCGUUUUAGUCAAUGAAGUCACCGCCACCCUGGGUAACGAUCAUAAUGUAAACACAAAUCUAUUUAUUUACACAACAAACAGUGGAUGUCUUUUAACUAAAAGUCUUAGACAAACAAAAAAUUUAUUUGAACCCAGCUUUAGCCAUAAGGAACAGUACAAUACAUAUCUCCAAUAUCUCGACACAACAAAAACUAAUCACAAGCACACUUCAAAUAAAAUUGUACAUUUUUUUGCUGAGUAUUUGAUUAUUUUGUUAUAAUUAACAUAUUUCCAAAUUAAAAAUCAAUCAAAUUCGAUUAUGAAUUCAACGGUUUCAUGAUCUUUCACUUGGACAAAAACUG
rnacentral:sRNA from 1 species